rnacentral:misc_RNA from 1 species
AAGUCGUAACAAGGUUUCCGUAGGUGAACCUGCGGAAGGAUCAUUAUCACGUAUCCACGUAUAAACCAUUGCGAACUGUGUCUACCUUUGGGGGGAACUGUGUGAUGCACUGUUGUUUUGUGAUUUAAAACAGUCUCACAUGCUCUACUGUUCUCUCUAAAGUGUAUUUUUUUUUAAAAAUCACUUUCAUUAACCCUUGAAACCCUUCUUCUUUUAAAACUUUGAACUAAUUCAUUUCUUACUCUUCGGGAAGAAAUAUUUUUACGAAACUAAAGAACAACUCUUAGCAAUGGAUAUCUUGGUUCUC